CAAACUCAUAUAAUGAGUAAUGAAUGGCGUAUUUAUUAUACCAGCAGGUUUACACCAGUUUCAACCAGUUUCUUGUAACAGCAGAGAUCAUAACAGACACGAACAAGAAAAAACAAACGAACUGCACAUAACAGAAGAUGAUUUUUGCACUAGAGACAAUACAACGCUAUCUGUUCUACAUGCUGGAUGAAAAAGGUGACUCAUGUCAAACAAGAAUGUAGGCAGUUCAAAGUGCUUCCGAAAAGCUAUAUAUUUUGACAAUUACUCAGUGAACAACAGCGAAAUGUAUCUGGAUAUAGACGAACUGCGUGACAGGGAAAGACUUGUGAACAAUUAUUCUGUGAACAGUUUUAUAUCGUCAAACAACGAGCUUGUGGUGACGAGAACGUACGACGGGCGACGAUAUUCCACCAUGCUCUUUAAGCCCACCGAUCGGAACCAAGUGGACAUAGUGGUCACCAAAGGCAACGUUCAUGAAGGAAAUGAAGACAUUUCAGCUAAGAGGACGUCGAAUGAUGAGAGACAAGUCUAUUCCAUUCGUGCGCGGUUGCUGGUUGGUCUGGUGUUCUUCAUGUUGAUGGUUAUGUUGGUUGUGUUGGUCGUGUGCCUUGUACUCGGUACACCGUCCAUAAGCUCAACAAAUGGCAGAGGCGAUGUCUCUGAAUUACCCGUGUUCAAUGAUAUUGGACUGUCAGUGCUACAGCAGAACGGGACCCAUAGGGAAAACGGAGCGUAUUUUCAAUACAAUUCUACGAACAAUGCUUUAUUUCCCACUGUUAUUAAUGCCACCGCAGGUGAUUAAUCUGCUGCUUUAAUGUGAUUGGUAGGCUGCUGGUGGCGUGAUAUAUGCAUGUUGUAUGUGCCUCGAAAUGGAUCGGUUUGGUCUAGACUUAAUUAUGUUGCAACUUUUGACCAUGAUAUUUACUACAUUUAGACUUCAUAUAUUUUCCUAAAUUAGAUAUAUUCUAAUGGAUGGGUUUUACCAUGUUGCUUCUUCUAUGCAUUAUAUGCGUGUGCUUUUAACACAGUGAAAAGUGAAUUUGGAACCUAAUCCCAUAGCACCAUGUCAUGUAGAAUCAUCGCAUGGUAAAUGUUCUGGCGUAAUGUCGUUUAGGAAAUAUACUGUUAUUCAUGCUGUUUUGUGUGAUUAAUGCAAGCAUAUGUUGCUAAAUUAUUUACAGUUACGAGUCUGUUAUUACUAGCACUCUUAGAUUGUUCUUUCUCACAACAUUAUUAAUUUAACCAGUGGUUAAAAUAUGUAAAAAAGGGAAAUCUUUCCAAAAAUAGAACAAACAAUGUAGUUAUUAUUUCUCAUGGUUAGGGUGAUUACCUUAAAUAUUUGUAUUAUAGGACCGUUUAUUUUUGCCGUUCACGUGCUCGUUUACGGAUAUAUACCUAUAUUCGAUUUUUGAUUGUGCCACUGUACUUUUGGAGUACAACACAUAGGGUACACUUUAUCAAUAUACUCGAAAUAGGGUUAUUUUUGCUGAUUCCAAGACUUGGUUGAAGUAUACGUUUUUCCUAUUGUUGUUUUUUGUUGUUGUUGAUGCUGUUGUUGUUGACGAUGCUUUCUAAGAAAGCGUUGUAUGUGUUUGGCGGUUUUGUGGUUAUGAGACUGUUGCUUCACGUUUAAUGAUAUGUUCUAAAUUAUUUAUAAUGUCGAAUCGGUGUGUGUAAAUUGACGGGGCCAAUUCCUUGUCCAUUCGGUUAGUGGUAGGUCAGUGACUGGGUCCCUGACUUUCUUGUUUUGUUUCCAUUAUUUCCAAGUCAUUUGUUUAUGUAUUGCUUUCUAGCCAACUGUGAAUCUCUUUAUUUUACAUAGUUUGACAAUACUAUUUUUAACGGUCUCAAGAUAUUUUGUUGAGCAAUUUCAUCGUCUGCAAUACUUGACAUAUUUUACUCUUUUUUCUUGUAUUACUUAUUGUCAAAAUUCUUCAUAUAAACAUUCGUCAAAGAACAAAUGCGCAUUUUACUUGCACUUAACCAUUUUUACUGUGAUUGACCAAAUGAAUGUUUUACAUGAUUUACAUUUUAUGUUUAUGCUGUAUAUAUAAUUAUGGUAUUUCUGUUUUGUUUUUGUUCCAAUAUUUAGGAGAGUUCAUUUGUUGAUUGUAACAAAAUUGCACAUCAAUGGUGUUACUUGACAUAUCAAACCAAUAGGUAAUGCUGUGGUGUCUAUGUUAGCAAGAAAUCCAUAUUGUUUAUAAUCUUACAGAACACUGCCUUUUUCUAUUAAAAUGUUCUGCCAUUGACUUCAUAAUCAUCUGAUGCUGCUGAAUGUGUGCUUGAACUGCAUUGAUGUAUCUUUAAGUGUUCAAUCUCUUUAUACACACACAUCCGAAUUUUAAACAAUGCACAAUGCAGACAAUAUUCCCUAGUGUACAGCGUUAUAUUUAUAUGUUCAUUAUUGGAUAAAUGAAACUUAUUGUUUACUUGUAAUCGUUUUAUACACACAAAUCCAAUCUUAAACAAUGCACGCACAGUGUGGACAAUAUCCGCAAGUGUACAAUGUUAUAUUUAUAUAUGUUCGUUAUUUACCCUUUGAUAAACAUGUUGGUACCCUUGCUAUAAUAAAACAUUCAAUACAUGUAGUUAUGUUGACUGCUUGAUGAAUUUGAUUAAAUUGGUUAUAAUUAUU